rnacentral:ncRNA from 1 species
AUAAUGGUACUUCUCUACGGAGCAGGCGGAGAACCCGGCUGAGGUGAAAUUCCUAUGA